rnacentral:tRNA from 1 species
GCUCGCGUAGUCCAACUUGGCAGGAGACGACAGAUUCAAAAUCUGUACAGUGUGGGUUCGAAUCCCUCCGCGAGUACCA